rnacentral:rRNA from 1 species
UAGGGAAUUUUUCACAAUGAGCGAAAGCUUGAUGGAGCAAUGCCGCGUGAACGAUGAAGGUCUUUAAGAUUGUAAAGUUCUUUUAUUUGGGAAGAAUGACUUUAGCAGGUAAUGGCUAGAGUUUGACUGUACCAUUUUGAAUAAGUGACGACUAACUAUGUGCCAGCAGUCGCGGUAGUACAUAGGUCGCAAGCGUUAUCCGGAUUUAUUGGGCGUAAAGCAAGCGCAGGCGGAUUGAAAAGUCUGGUGUUAAAGGCAGCUGCUUAACAGUUGUAUGCAUUGGAAACUAUUAAUCUAGAGUGUGGUAGGGAGUUUUGGAAUUUCAUGUGGAGCGGUGAAAUGCGUAGAUAUAUGAAGGAACACCAGUGGCGAAGGCGAAAACUUAGGCCAUUACUGACGCUUAGGCUUGAAAGUGUGGGGAGCAAAUAGGAUUAGAUACCCUAGUAGUCCACACCGUAACGAUAGAUACUAGCUGUCGGGGCGAUCCCCUCGGUAGUGAAGUUAACACAUUAAGUAUCUCGCCUGGGUAGUACAUUCGCAAGAAUG